UACCAGCACCCCGAGUGGUCAGGACGUUUUAUUGGGCCUAAAGCAUCCGUAGCCGGUUCUACAAGUCUUCCGUUAAAUCCAACUGCUUAACAGGUGGGCUGCGGAAGAUACUAUAGAGCUAGGAGGCGGGAGAGGCAAGCGGUACUCGAUGGGUAGGGGUAAAAUCCGUUGAUCCAUUGAAGACCACCAGUGGCGAAGGCGGCUUGCCAGAACGCGCUCGACGGUGAGGGAUGAAAGCUGGGGGAGCAAACCGG
rnacentral:rRNA from 1 species